rnacentral:lncRNA from 1 species
UCAUUGGAGGUUUUUGGAAGAUCAAGGGAAUUAGAGAGAGGAGCUUCAUGCUUCGGGUCGGGGAAGGAAAGACAUAGAAUUUGGAUUUUUCUUCUUCGUAGAGUUUUGAGACGACUGAGGCAAUCGCUGCUGAAGUCAGUGUUGUAAUGGUGAAUCGGGAUUUUUAAAUGAAGUGGGUUUGAAUACUCUUAACUGUUUUGUAAAAUCGAGUUACGUCUGUGAUUGAAGGAUUAAAGGGGUGUCUAUAGGAUUGAGUAUGCGGAGUGAAUGAAAUUUAUUG